UACGUAGGGUGCAAGCGUUAAUCGGAAUUACUGGGCGUAAAGCGUGCGCAGGCGGCUAUGCAAGACAGAUGUGAAAUCCCCGGGCUCAACCUGGGAACUGCAUUUGUGACUGCAUGGCUAGAGUACGGCAGAGGGGGAUGGAAUUCCGCGUGUAGCAGUGAAAUGCGUAGAUAUGCGGAGGAACACCGAUGGCGAAGGCAAUCCCCUGGGCCUGUACUGACGCUCAUGCACGAAAGCGUGGGGAGCAAACAGG
rnacentral:rRNA from 1 species